CACACUAGUCACUGAGGACAGUG
rnacentral:snRNA from 1 species